CCAUGCCGCGUGAGCGAUGAAGGCCUUCGGGUUGUAAAGCUCUUUUGGCAGGGAAGAAACGGACCGUUCUAGUACUAUGCGUCACUGACGGUACCUGCAGAAUAAGCACCGGCUAACUACGUGCCAGCAGCCGCGGUAAUACGUAGGGUGCAAGCGUUAAUCGGAAUUACUGGGCGUAAAGCGUGCGCAGGCGGUUUGGAAAGUCAGAUGUGAAAUCCCAGAGCUCAACUUUGGAACUGCAUUUUAUACUGGCAAGCUAGAGUAUGUCAGAGGGGGGUGGAAUUCCACGUGUAGCAGUGAAAUGCGUAGAGAUGAGGAGGAACACCGAUGGCGAAGGCAACCCCCUGG
rnacentral:rRNA from 1 species